GCUGGGCAUAGUGGCGUGUGCCUAUAGUCCCAGCUACUCAGGAGGCUGAGGUAGGAGGAUCACUUGAGCCCAGGAGUCCUGGGCUGCAGUGCUGUAUGCUGAUCAGGUGUCCGCACUAAGUUCAGCAUCAAUAUGGUGACCUCCCGGGAUCGGGGGACCGCCAGGUUGCCUAAGGAGGGGUGAACCGGCCCAGGUGGGAAACGGAGCGGGUCAAAACUCCUGUGCUGAUCAGUAGUGGGAUCGCGCCUGUGAAUAGCCACUGCACUCCAGCCUGGGCAACACAGCGAGACCCUGUCUCU
rnacentral:SRP_RNA from 1 species